rnacentral:lncRNA from 1 species
CAGGGUUUCACCAUGUUGGUCAGGCUGGUCUCGAACUCCUGGCCUCAGGUGAUCCACCCACCUCGGCCUCUCAAAGUGCUGGGAUUACAGGUUUGAACCACUGCACCCGGCCAGUAAAAGAAAUUUUGAAGGCCAUUGCAGCUAUUUGGUAGUGUCUUGUUAUUUCUAGGUGUACCUUAGUUAAAGAGGAAAAAUAAAACGGAAAAAAGCUUGGAAAUCAGUGAUGUGUAGUUAUUUGGCAAGUUAUACAUAAUCAGCAGCAGCCAGGCUCAAGAAAAUAAAAGUUGAUUAGUUGAUCAGAAAUAAAAUCUGUAGAGUGAAUUAGAUUUCUGAGUUGUUGUUGUUAAUGGAACAUUCUAUUUGAGACCUUUUUCAGGUGUGUAGCAAUUCUACCAUGUCCAUUUUUUUAAGCAUUAAAAAGGAACUUACCAGUUGUAAAUUAAGACAAGAUCCAAAUAGUCAUAUUUUUGUGUUUCCUCUAAAAAAAUGUAAGAUUUCCAUUUUUGGCACUGACUAACUGAGCCUACAUCUAGAUUUUAAAUACCAUCUUGAAUCCUAAUAAUUAAACUGAUGAAAGUGCAUAUCAUUGUUCCUAACAUUUAUGAACCCCCAUAAAGAUGUUCCUGAUCUUUAAAACUCAUUAAUCUGAGUAUUAAGUAGAAACAGAAUUUUCCAAAGCAUUAGACAUCACUUUCUCAGUUUAUCUGAGGUGACUUCGUGUACAUCUGUUUCUAAUAUAUUUGACUAAUUUUCAUGAUCUCAGAUUGUGAGGUAAAUGUAAUCUGGAAUAAUAAGUGUCUUUUACCUAGAUUACAUCUCUCAUUUGGAGUUUGGCAAUGAAACUGCUAUGAAGAAUGACUGUACUCUCCUAUCUGUCCCUGGAUGACAUAAAUAUCAUUUGCUUUGUUGUUUAAACUGAAAUAAAGUUUUCCAAGAACAAAGUAAGCAUUCUUCAUUCUUUUUCAGUUUUAAUUCCAAAUAUACUUUAUAGAUUUUUUUGCAGAAUUUAAUGAGGUGAUGCUUUAAUCAUAUGAAUAAUAAAUGCACCUGAGAUUUCUCUCUAGUAAAGAAAAGAAAAUAUGGAAACACUUUUAUGGUAAGAAAGUUACUUCUUGGCAUUUGAACAAAUAACUUGGGAGGGUAAUCCACUGAAUCAGUCAUUUUCAAUUUCACUUAUUGUAACUUAUGGUUAUAGUUGCUAGGGAUCAUUUUGAUCAUCUUUGAUAGAAUUCUUUUUGUUAUUUCUCCUUUCUAAAUUUUGCUUUGUUAUGAUUCAGAACAGAUCAUAUUAAAGGGCCAGCUUAUAUUUUAUGUAAACCAGUAGAAGAAAAAGUACCCAACAAGGUAAAGAUGUUUAGAAAAUAAUGUUUCAAAAGUUUGGUGAUUUUAUAGUCAAGGUGACUUUAAUUUUCUUAAUAAAA